rnacentral:rRNA from 1 species
CACGUAGGAGGCGAGCGUUGUCCGGAAUCAUUGGGCGUAAAGAGCGCGCAGGCGGCCCGGCAAGUCGGGUGUGAAAUCCCGGGGCUCAACCCCGGGACUGCAUUCGAUACUGUCGGGCUAGAGGUAGGUAGGGGAGAUCGGAAUUCCUGGUGUAGCGGUGAAAUGCGCAGAUAUCAGGAGGAACACCGGUGGCGAAGGCGGCGUCCUGGACCGGCAUUGACGCUGAGGCGCGAAAGCCAGGGGAGCAAACGGG